ensembl:lncRNA novel transcript
CUUCUGGCGGAGGAGAACUGUCAUUCUGAGGGGCUGGGGUAGGGAAAGCUCUUCAAGUGCGAAUUUCCCCAUUUUAGGCCUCUCUCCUGGCCCCCGGCACAUUUUUUUACCUUUUUCUUCUUCCGUAAACUUCCUGCCAGUGACUAGCUUCCGGUAUGAAAUCAAGCUCUGCGUGAGAGCUGUAAAACCAGAAAAAUGUGGAAAUGGACAGGAGGGCUGUUGUCCAAAAAUGCAAAGGAAAUCUGACGUCCCACCCUGAAGAAAAAUAUCACAAGGCCCAAAAGCAAGGCGUCUCUGAUGAGUCACCUAUGACACCCAAUUGAAAUAGCAUCGCCUUGGCCGGGUGCUCUGGUUUCCACAGAUUAACUUGGUCUGGUUACAGCGGCUGCUUAGGAUCUUCAACUCCCACUGGUGCCUUGCUUUUCUAGCACACCCAGAGAACACCUGUUCCUCACGUGAACAUUACAAGGGGAUCCAAGAUGCUUUACUUUUUGCUCUUGGGAAAUGGAGGGGAUACAAUACUAAGUAUUCCGGAAUUUCCUUUGAAAAAAUACCGGAAUGCCCUGAGCCCGGAGCCAGGGAUGAUUACUGAAGCCCUGGCUCUUUAGUCACUAUAUGUGAGAACUGACAUAAGACCUUUCAACCCCUGAGCGCUUAGAUCCUUCAUCUGUAACGUGAAGUAAUAGUAAUCCGUACUCCAUGGAUUUCAUAGGCUGCAACCUUUUGGAAAGAAAAUCAAAAUUUUACUGUUGACGAAUUUUUAUUUACUCAUCUUGUGUUUCUAACAUCUAACGGGGUGCCUGGCACAUUAUAGAUGUUUCAUAUUUUAAAAAUAAAUGUAAGGUGCAAAUGA